rnacentral:rRNA from 1 species
UACAGAGGUCUCAAGCGUUGUUCGGAAUCACUGGGCGUAAAGGGUGCGUAGGCGGCACGGUAAGUCAGAGGUGAAAUCCCGGAGCUCAACUUCGGAAUUGCCUCCGAUACUGCCGUGCUUGAGGACUGGAGAGGAGAUUGGAAUUCACAGUGGAGCAGUGAAAUGCGUAGAUAUUGUGAGGAACACUAGUGGCGAAGGCGAAUCUCUGGACAGUCCCUGACGCUGAGGCACGAAGGCCAGGGGAGCAAACGGG